UUCCGGUUGAUCCCGCCGGAGGCUACCGCUAUUGGAGUUCGAUUAAGCCAUGCGAGUCGCGAGUCUUAGGGACUCGGCGUACCGCUCAGUAACACGUGGGUAACCUGCCCUAUGCUGGGGAAUAACCUCGGGAAACUGAGAAUAAUGCCCCAUAGUUCACCACGCCUGGAACGGUGGGUGGAUGAAAGCUCCGGCGGCAUAGGAUGGGCCUGCGGCGUAUCAGGUCGUAGGGGGUGUAACGUACCCUCUAGCCAUCGACGCGUACGGGUGUUGGGAGACAUAGCCCGGAGAUGGAUUCUGAGACACGAAUCCAGACCCUACGGGGUGCAGCAGGCGCGAAAACUUGGCAAUGCGAGCAAUCGUGACCAGGGAACUCCAAGUGCUUGGGGUAAGACCCAAGCUUUUCUUGACUCUUCAAAGGUCUUGGAAUAAGGGGUGGGUAAGGACGGUGCCAGCCGCCGCGGUAAUACCGGCGCCUCAAGUGGUAGUCGCUUUUAUUGGGCCUAAAACGUCCGUAGCCGGUCUGGUGCAUUCGUGGGUAAAUCAACCCGCUCAACGGGUUGAAUUCUGCGAGCACGGCCAGACUUGGGACCGGGAGAGGUGUGGGGUACUCUCAGGGUAGGGGUAAAAUCCUGUCAUCCUGAGAGGACCACCUGUUGCGAAGGCGCCACACUAGAACGGAUCCGACGGUCAGGGACGAAACCUAGGGGCACGAACCGGAUUAGAUACCCGGGUAGUCCUAGGUGUAAACGCUGUGGACUUGAUGUUGGGGGCGCUCCGAGCGCUUUCAGUGUCGAAGCGAAGGUGAUAAGUCCACUGCCUGGGGAGUACGGUCGCAAGGCUGAAACUUAAAGGAAUUGGCGGGGGAGCACUGCAACCUGAGGAUUGUGCGGUUUAAUUGGAUUCAACGCCGGA
rnacentral:rRNA from 1 species